AUUGAACGCUGGCGGCAGGCCUAACACAUGCAAGUCGAACGGAGUGGCGAACGGGUGAGUAACACGUGGGUGACCUGCCCUGCACUUCGGGAUAAGCCUGGGAAACUGGGUCUAAUACAGGUGAGUGUGGGAUGGGCCCGCGGCCUAUCGGCUUGUUGGUGGGGUACUGGCUUACCAAGGCGGCGAGGGGUAGCCGGCCUGGGAGGGUGGACGGCCCCCUUGGUACUGCGGCACGGCCCAGACUCGUACGGGCGGCAUCGGAGGGGAAUAUUGCACAGUAGGGGGAAGCCUGAUGCAGAGGCGCUGCGUGGGGAAGGACUGCCUUCUGGUUGUAAACACCUAUCGCCGUCGCCGCGGUAGAUAGCGAAAAAGCACCGGCUAACUACGUGCCAGCAGCCGCGGUAAUAC
rnacentral:rRNA from 1 species